rnacentral:rRNA from 1 species
CCUACGGGAGGCAGCAGUGGGGAAUAUUGGACAAUGGGCGCAAGCCUGAUCCAGCAACGCCGCGUGGAGGAAGAAGGUCUUCGGAUCGUAAACUCCUGUCAGGUGGGAAGAAAGACCGCUGGCAAAUAGCCGGCGGCCUUGACUGUACCAUCAGAGGAAGCCCCGGCUAACUCCGUGCCAGCAGCCGCGGUAAU